UACGGAGGGUGCAAGCGUUAAUCGGAUUUAUUGGGCGUAAAGGGCGCGUAGGCGGGAUGGAAAGUCAGAUGUGAAAGCCUGGGGCUCAACCCCAGAAUUGCACCUGAAACUUCCAUUCUUGAGGGUAGGCGGAGAAAACGGAAUUCCACGUGUAGCGGUGAAAUGCGUAGAUAUGUGGAAGAACACCAGUGGCGAAAGCGGUUUUCUAGCCUACUCCUGACGCUGAGGCGCGAAAGCUAGGGGAGCAAACAGGAUUAGAUACCCGUGUAGU
rnacentral:rRNA from 1 species